CGGCCGCGUCGACGUGAGUAACGCGUAGGUAACCUGCCUUGUAGCGGGGGAUAACUAUUGGAAACGAUAGCUAAUACCGCAUAACAAUGGAUGACACAUGUCAUUUAUUUGAAAGGGGCAAUUGCUCCACUACAAGAUGGACCUGCGUUGUAUUAGCUAGUAGGUGAGGUAAUGGCUCACCUAGGCGACGAUACAUAGCCGACCUGAGAGGGUGAUCGGCCACACUGGGACUGAGACACGGCCCAGACUCCUACGGGAGGCAGCAGUAGGGAAUCUUCCGCAAUGGACGAAAGUCUGACGGAGCAACGCCGCGUGAGUGAUGAAGGGUUUCGGCUCGUAAAACUCUGUUGUUAAGGAAGAAUACUUGAGGUAGUAACUGGCCUUGAGAUGACGGUACUUAACCAGAAAGCCACGGCUAACUACGUGCCAGCAGCCGCGGUAAUACGUAGGUGGCAAGCGUUAUCCGGAAUUAUUGGGCUAAAGCGCGCGUAGGCGAUAGCCAUAACGGCCUUGAUGAUGAUUAAAGAUUUCUUUAG
rnacentral:rRNA from 1 species